rnacentral:rRNA from 1 species
AAAUCUGGCCCCCCGGGUCCGAGUUGUAAUUUGCAGAGGAUGCUUUUGGCUGCGGUGCCUUCCGAGUUCCCUGGAACGGGACGCCAUAGAGGGUGAGAGCCCCGUACGGUUGGACACCAAGCCUGUGUAAAGCUCCUUCGACGAGUCGAGUAGUUUGGGAAUGCUGCUCAAAAUGGGAGGUAUAUUUCUUCUAAAGCUAAAUACCGGCCAGAGACCGAUAGCGCACAAGUAGAGUGAUCGAAAGAUGAAAAGCACUUUGAAAAGAGGGUUAAACAGCACGUGAAAUUGUUAAAAGGGAAGCGCUUGUGACCAGACUUGCGCCCGGUGAAUCACCCAGCUCUCGCGGCUGGGGCACUUUGCCGGCUCAGGCCAGCAUCAGCUCGCCGUCGGGGACAAAAGCUUCGGGAACGUAGCUCUCUUCGGGGAGUGUUAUAGCCCGCUGCACAAUACCCUUCGGCGGGCUGA